rnacentral:hammerhead_ribozyme from 1 species
AUCUAGCUGAUGAGUCCCAAAUAGGACGAAACGCUCGUCCUGUAU